AAGAUAUCAGCUCUUCUCCUCUAUAACUCUCAUAGCCUGCUGUCACAAACACAUGCGCAUACACAUGCAACCUGAGUCUUCACCCUCCUCCGCUCUCAGAGAGAGGCACUUGUUUACUGUGAGUUGCCAACUUGUCCGUGAAAGACUCUUUGGGGAGUUUGCUGUAAAUAUGGUGACAGGCAGGAAGCACUUCUGAGGAGGGGGAAAGCUUCAUUAUUGCUCAUACUGAGGAUAUCCUUUGAAGUUGGAGCCAAUAGCCUUGCGGUUGCACUUCGGACUAUGGAGGGGGUUCCCUGGUGUUCCUGGAUAUGCUUCACGUUGAGGAUGGGAUUACACUCAAGUCUGAUGUACGGGCCCACUGGGACCAGGAACUUGAGACAUCUGUCUGCGGGAGUGGGGUGGUCGUGUGGAGUUGCCCCCCCACCCCCUCAUCAGGCACCCUGACAGCCCACUGACAGAUAACAGCUGCUGGGAAAGCCUCCCACCGCUUCAAGCUACUGUUCCGUGAGUCUGCAGCUUGUAUCAUUUCUUCAGCACCAAACUUCCUCUUUAUCAGAAAGCUCUGGAAUCCAGAUGCAAGUAUAGUCUUGGUACGAAAAGACAUUUGCUCAUUUCUGAAGCAUUGCAUUCAUUAUGCUGAUGACAUAUGGGUCACCAACAAUGAGGUUGCAUACAGUUUUAAAAUGCAUUUUAAUUAUUUAUUGUGCAUUCAUUUUAUCACAGUCUUUUUUGUUGCUGGAGGAGGUGAUUUAGAGGUUAGUUAAUGAUAUUACAUUCUUUUACCUUCUUUUUUUGCCUCAAAUUCAAUCUGCUGUGUUCCAAGGCUGUUAAUACAGAGUAUCAGCACUGUAAUGCUUCACUGUUUGUAUGACUCCGCUUGUUUGUUUACAGCUUUCCAGAUCAGAGUAUUUGGUCGGUGCGGAGUAAAUGAGCAAUGUGACUUUGCCUUAAAUGAGGAGAGAGUUUUUUGGAAGUCGGAGUGUCUGUGUUUUUUCUGUCUACAGAGUUUCUCUUACCAGAGAGGAUGGAGCAAGCAUGGAGCGGGUAAUGGAAAACCUGUGGAUUUGGAUUGAGAUGCACAUUUAAGGAGAGAAGGAGAGAAAUUAACUGGUUGUUGAUGGAUACAAAUAUACAAACUAGCUAGCCAUUUGUUUUUUUUUAUGUAAGCCUACACUACUGUUGAAAUGUCCGGGGUCAGUAAGAUUAUUAUGUUAAAGAAAUGUAUACUUUUAUUCAGCAAGGAUGCAUUCAAUUGAUCAAAAGUGAAAGUAAAGACAUUUUUAUGGAUUCAAAGGAUUUCUAUUUCAAAUAAAUGCUGUUCGUCUGAACUUUUUUCACAUUUUAAGCAGCACAACUGUUUUCAACACUGAUCACUGAUAAGAAAUAUUUCUUGAGAACCAAAUCAGCCUAUUAGAAUUAUUUCUGAAGGAUCAUGUUAC